UUGGCGGACGGGUGAGUAACGCGUGGGGGAACCUGCCCUGUACAGGGGGAUAACACUUAGAAAUAGGUGCUAAUACCGCAUAAGCGCACAGUAUCGCAUGAUACAGUGUGAAAAACUCCGGUGGUACAGGAUGGACCCGCGUCUGAUUAGCUGGUUGGCGGGGUAACGGCCCACCAAGGCGACGAUCAGUAGCCGGCCUGAGAGGGUGAACGGCCACAUUGGGACUGAGACACGGCCCAAACUCCUACGGAAGGCAGCAG
rnacentral:rRNA from 1 species